AUCGACAAGACCUUGGCAAUGUAAGGAAUGAGGGGCAGGUUCAGGACCAGCAAGACCAGAUUACCGAUGAACAUUGACAUGAUGACGGCCCAGAAAACCUCCGGUGCGUCCAGCAUCAAGCGGGGACC
rnacentral:ncRNA from 1 species